rnacentral:rRNA from 1 species
GUGCCAGCCGCCGCGGUAAUACAGAGGUCCCAAGCGUUGUUCGGAUUCACUGGGCGUAAAGGGUGCGUAGGCGGUCGGGUAAGUCUGAUGUGAAAUCUCCGAGCUCAACUCGGAAAUGGCAUUGGAUACUAUUCGGCUAGAGAAUCGGAGGGGGGACUGGAAUACUUGGUGUAGCAGUGAAAUGCGUAGAUAUCAAGUGGAACACCAGUGGCGAAGGCGAGUCCCUGGACGAUUUCUGACGCUGAGGCACGAAAGCUAGGGGAGCAAACAGGAUUAGAAACCCCUGUAGUCC